rnacentral:tRNA from 1 species
ACCAGGAUGGCCGAGUGGUUAAGGCGUUGGACUUAAGAUCCAAUGGACGUUUGUGUCCUCGUGGGUUCGAAUCCCGCUCCUGGUA